GUGGGGAAUAUUGGACAAUGGGCGCAAGCCUGAUCCAGCAAUGCCGCGUGGGUGAAGAAGGUCUUCGGAUCGUAAAGCCCUUUCGACAGGGACGAUGAUGACGGUACCUGUAGAAGAAGCCCCGGCUAACUUCGUGCCAGCAGCCGCGGUAAUACGAAGGGGGCUAGCGUUACUCGGAAUUACUGGGCGUAAAGGGCGCGUAGGCGGCUCUGUUAGUCAGGCGUGAAAUUCCUGGGCUUAACCUGGGGACUGCGCUUGAUACUGCAGGGCUUGAGGCCGAGAGAGGGUGGUGGAAUUCCCAGUGUAGAGGUGAAAUUCGUAGAUAUUGGGAAGAACACCGGUGGCGAAGGCGACCACCUGGCUCGGUUCUGACGCUGAGGCGCGACAGCGUGGGGAGCAAACAGGAUUAGAUACCCUUGUAGUCC
rnacentral:rRNA from 1 species